ensembl:lncRNA
CAGCCUCUGAGAAACGUAAAUUAACUUUGAAGUUGGUCGUGUUCUGAGCAGUAAUUCUUCCUUCACCCUUAGCUUUUGGCAUAUAAUUCCCUGAAAGCUCACCCGUAACUUACGGCAAGGUAAUUGCCUUCUCUGAGCAUAGCAUAUCUGAAUGCCACUUUCCAUGACUGGUCAGAUCACAGAGCACCUUUAAUGAUGCAGCUCUCUGGUAACAGAACAAGUUUGGCUUCUCCUGGUGCCUCACAGCAGCUGGAAACAAAGCUGAGUCCCCUCCAGGGCAGUGAGAGUGUGUGCAAGACGGAUAACUCUUCCACUGCAAGGCAAGAUGGAAAAGACUGCAGAACAAACAUGAAGGCUUUGCUCCUUUGCAGGCACAGGAAUCGUGCUUUUCUGUCCUUUCAUGUGAUCCGCCUACCACAGAAAGUUGCUAACAAGGACUUGGAAAGUAAAAUGUGCAUUAAAUGAACGGGUUUGGCAGAAGAAACAUCUGUUUCAGGAUUGUCCCACCUAAGGGAGGUGGGCUGACCAGAAGAUGAAUGGAUGGGACUCUGCCUGUAAUGCGUUGCCUUGAGGAGUUUUCCAUGAUCUAAUGCUCAUCUGAGCUCAGAUGCUUCUUUUUCUCUUUGCUUUUUCACCG